GGUAGCUUCUGCCUUUAAAUGCCCUGAGGCAGCCUAGCAGAAUGCAGCUGCCUACUUUCCUCUCCCACCUGCUAUGGGGUUAAAAACUGGAAGCCUGUUUGCUACUGAAGGCAGAAGAACACCCUGCCUGGUCCGGGAACUUGUCAGAGGCAUGGAAAACAUUCUGGAGCAGUUAGAAGCCUGGAGGAUUCUUUGGAGACUGGAGAACUGCAGUUUCAGACCAGAUGGCAGCCAUUUCUCUGUGAACCUCCACCCUAUUAAAGGCUUUUGAAAAUUCCAGAGUCUGAUGCAGGAGGGGGAGGAGGAGGAGGAGAUCACACUGGUGGCAGCUGGUGCCCCUCUGCCAGGUGCUCUGCGCAUCCACCCAGAGGUUGGGAUUCAUAUCAUUUGGACAUAUCCCAGCAUGAGAGUACCGCAUUGGAGGCAAGGCAGUACCUUCUAAAGGGACCUCCAGAAGCAGUAGGAGAAGGAUCUCCCCAGACAACAUCCAUAUCCAUAUCCAUCGAAUGAAGAGUUUGAAAAAGAACAUCUCAGAAAGUCUCCUGAGAAAAGAACAAUAUUGGACUGGUGGGUCUGGGUGUGUCUCUGCCUGAAUUAAACAAAACAAAACAAAUAAAAGCAAAGAAACCAGCUACACCUGCUUUACCUAAACACUCACAGACUUCCUUUCCACCUUGGUCGAUGGUGCAGUCUGAUCUGGACCUUGUUGGAUUAAAAGUCCUGGGAAAUAGCCCCCUUAUUUUAAGCGAAAGGCUCUUAGUCCGAGCCAGUUAGCUGUAUUUAUACCCUGCCUCUGUACAACAAGUUGGAAAAAGUAAACUCUAUUUCUGU